rnacentral:tRNA from 1 species
GUGCCUGUAGCUUAGUGGUAAAGCGUCGCUCUGUGGCAGCGAUGAGGUGGGUUCGAUUCCCAUCAGGCACC